GAUCGCUGCGCGUUCACGCUCCAGUUGUGAGGUUUGCGCGCCGCCGCUCUCCGGAGGAAAGCUCAGCGCUUGUUUUCAUACCGAGGGGCAAAUACUCAUUUAUUCCAAUGAAUUAUCACCCCUUCACCUCGACCCCCAGCUGACAAACUGCCCUGCGCGAGAGAGAGCGGGCACAGAGGAGCGACGCGCGCGCGAGAUUGUGUGAGCAGGUGGGUGUGUGGUGUGUUUAUGGGAUGGCGCAGACGAGCACAUGCUCUCAGAGCAGUAAUGGCGUGUCUGAUGAGGCUCCUAACAUGCUGGUGUACAGGAAGGCUCUGAUAUUGUCCAGUGGAUGCAGAAGAAUCUCAACAUCGAAGAUCAAGAGACCCUGGACUUCAUGAUUCAGGCUUUGUUCUGUUGAGUGGAAGCUCUUCAUCUGGGGACUCUGAUGGCAGCACACGGUUAUUUCUUCCCCAUAUCAGACCACGUCCUGAUGCUGAAGGAUGACGGAACGUUCUACCGUUUUCAGACUCCAUACUUCUGGCCAUCAAACUGCUGGGAACCAGAAAACACCGAUUAUGGUAACAACACGCACAUACAAACACACGCAUGUUCUUCAGCUGUCAUACAUAAGUCAGACACAUCAAAAACAUCAAUGAACAAACUCCACUUUAUGUUGCAG